AAAUAAAAAGGCACGUACAGUAUCCUACAGAAAACUAACAGGUAACCAGUUCAAUAAUCACUAUGUGGAACAUAAGUCGUAUUUUAACCUUAUUUAGAAAUUAUUGUACAUAUUGUUGAUGUUAGUUUGAAGUUAAUUUUUAUCUUAUUUUAAUUGUUAUUUAAAAAUAAGGAGUUUUAUAAAUAUAACAGGUUGAACAGAAGAUGAUAUAUUGAUGCAAUACUACACUGCAUAUAAAAAAAAGAAGUGGUAUGAUUGCCAAUGAGACAACUGUCCACAAGAGACCAAAAUGACACAAACAUUAACAACUAUAGGUCAACGUAAGGCCUUCAAUAAUGAGGAAAGUUCACACCGCGUAGUCAGCUAUUAAAGGCCCAGAUAUGCCAAUGUAAAAUAAUUCAAACAAGAAAACUAACGGCUUUGUUUAUAUAUAUAAAAAAUGAACGAAAAACAAAUUUGUAACACAUAAACAAACGGCAACCACUAAAUUACAGGCUCCUGACUUGGGACAGGCACAUUCAUAAAUAGUGUGGCGGGGUUAAACAUGUUGGCGGGAUCCCAACCCUCCCCUUAACCUUGGACAGUGGUAUAAGAGUACAACUUAAGAACGAACCAUAAAAAUCAGUUCAAAAAGGCUAAGCUCAUCAGAUAAGUUAUUAACAUUUACUUUUUUUCUCUAUAAUUGUUAAAUAUAUCAUUUGCUUAGUGAUCCUAUAUAAGGAAGAUUAUUAAUACAAGAUGAAAAAACAGGAAGUGGUGCUGUGUAGACAUUCUCUAUUAAAUAUCUAGAAUAGUAUUUAUUUAAUUAUCUACAAUCCCAUAACUAUCAUAAACAGAGGUGAAAAAACUGACAAGGUAUUAACUUUAUUCUAUUGUCAGUUGAUAAGAGUGUUACACAAUCAGGUAAUACUUUUACUGGAAUUGCCGACAGGGAUGGAAUUUGAAAUUUUUUUUUAAAGGCUUCUAUGAAGGCGUUUUCUAGAAACAAUGUUAUCCAAAGAAAAAAGGGCAUGACGUCUGUCAAUGCUUAACAUGCUUGGGGGAAAUACUAAGUGUAACAAUGGUCUUUGUGAACCUCUUAUCCAUUAUUAAUCCUGCUCAUUUUAUUGAAAAAUGUAUUCUAUAUAUGUAAUAAGUACAAAUGUCAUGUGAUGUUUAUUUUUAAAUCUUCUUUAAAUCAGUCAACGAAGAAAUGAUUCAAAAACUUGAUAUAUUUGUGUUUUUUCUCAUUUUGGGUUAUUCUAAAUUGAUGAGACAUUUGACCCUAGAAAUUUAAUACUCAGACACUUUUAUAUCUAAUUGUUAAACAUUAUAUGACUAUAAGUAUAAAAUUACUUUCUUAAAGGCUCCUGUUCGUGGUAUUAACGCGACUUUGCUCUCUCAUCUUGAUCAUAAGAAGUCGUAUGGAAUACAAAUGAAGUUAUAUAACGUCGCUGGGCUUCUAAAAUGUCGUAUAUGACUUUUUUGGCUAAAAUACUUUUUGAGACCAAAGGUCUGGGUGGGAGAAAAUCUUUGGUAUCACAAAAUAGCAUACAGUUAGACCAAUCAAAAUGUGUGAAAUAAGACAUAUUACAAAAUUGGCAAUGUCAGUUUUUUGUAAAGUUUGCUUCCAAAAUGUUGUAUGAAAACUUGCAAAUCGUUGUAGAAUGGCUUUGAGAAAAAAAUAAUUGUACAUUUCUUUAUUUCUGUGAAAAUAAUUUAAGUUCUUGGAUAAUCCAGAAAUGUAAAAGUUUUUAUUUUAGUUUAGAAUUAAUGAAAUUACAUUAUCCGAGAAUCCGAAGUUAAAAAUUAACAAUGAGGGUUUUUGCUUGUAAUAGAGCUGUCUUCUUAUUUCAUUAUAUUAAUGUUCUAUGUCUUUAAAUGUAUUUUUAUAAUUGUUGUCAUUUGGUAUCUUGCACAGAUUUGCCUCAUACAUAAUCUUCUUUUAUAUAUGGCUAUAUAAAUGUUCGGCACUACAAAAAUAUUUUGAUCAUAAAAUAUAAUAAAAAAAGAAAAACUGUUAAAUUAUCCAACGAAAAACAUUCAUUUGUAAUAGAAACGUUAGACAAUCUCAUGUUAUUGAACACCGGGAUCAAAUAUGUUUUGCGGAAAAUGAUAAAAGUCAGCCCUUAAUUUCGUAGAUGGGAAUAAAAUAUUGAAAUAUCUGCAAAUAGAUUUAAUAUUGUAAGCAGGAUAAAAUUUAGAAUGCAAAUUUGGAAUGUGUCAACGAGAUAACAACCCGACCAUAGAGCAGACAACAGCCAAAGUCUACCAUUGGGUCUGCAAUGCAACGAGAAACUCCCACACCCAAAGGAGUCCUUCAGCUUGCCCCUAAACAAAUAUAUAUAUACUAGUUCAAUGAUAAUGGACGUCAUACCGAACUCCGAAUUAUUCACAAAAAACUAAAAUUAAAAACCAUACAAUACAAAACAAAGGCCAGAGGCUCCUGACUUGGAACAGGUUCAAAUUACGGCGGUGUAAAGAUGUUUAACUUGCUGUUGCUAUGAGUGGAAAAUAACAUUGUAUAAAUAUGAGACCAAUUAGGCAAUUAUUCAACUUGGUAUGUUGUUUCGAUUUUCAUUAUAUAUGAAAAAUACAUUGUCUAGUGUUAUGUUUCUUUUAUUUACUACUAUACAUAUCUACGUUUAGUCAGGGCAAUGAUUAUAAGGGUAUUUAUUCUUUCAAAGAAUUACACAAUAUUUCAGGCUUGUGAAUCUUAACAUCCCUUUUUGUUCGGAUGAAUUUAUGCCUUUGUGCUUUGUCUGUGUUGACUGCUGCGCCCCUAUUUUUUACAUUUUGUCUGUUUAUUUUAUUCACACAACGUGUUCAGUAAAUGGAUUCUUAUGCGGGUGUCACGUGGUUUGGGAAUUUGUCUAGCUUUAUAGUCAGCGUGAAUCCAGCAUGUCGUAUUGCUUAAUCUUUAGUUUGAAAAAAAUGAACUACGAGCACACGUGUGUCUAACCCUUUGACGAAGCCUGCAUUGUGGAUGUUUUACACUAAACACAUUUUUUAUAAUUCAUAUAACGUGUAUAACGAAACAAAUAAAACAGUGUCAUAUUAUGUUUAAUUCGAAUGAAAUAUCUGUUUACACCGUUAUUGAUACUCAAUAUACUUUUUUUCACAUGCUUAAUUUAUCCUUUUUCUCAAGCUUUAAUUCUUUAAAAAAAAAAAAAGUGUGUCAUGGAGUGCUUUAUCAAAAAGUGCAGUGGUGUAGAUUGGACUUUAAACUUAAAAUUGGUUGCUAUUGAAAGGUUUGUGAAAUAUAUUACUAAUAUGUGAAUAUUUGAAGUAUUUUAUAGAAAGCUUGCGGUAAGACGAUUUCUUUUUCUCUUCGUUAACAUACUUUGUCUUAAACAGUUUGUCACUGAACACUUUACAAUUACUUGAUUUACAUUUGAAAGCGUUAUGUUAUUUCACUAAAAAUUAAAGCAAAAGGAAAUGCUAAUAGAGGUCGGUCAUUUAAAGACGUAUCAACCGUAUCAUAUACUUUGACGUAUCCGCAUCUACAGAUAUACCAAAACAGUAUAUGAUCCCUAGCUUUAAUUGUAUGUACUUUCAAUAAUGCAAAUGGGCGACUGAUUAAUUUCUAAUGCAGAAAUUUAAAAAAAAAAAAGGAAAUAUGGAGAUUUUGUGGAAUAUGUAACCCGACUUUUAAAGAUAUUCCGGAUAUAUAUUUGGAACAGUUAACGGGCAUGAUAGGAGUGAAUACGGUAAAAUCGUUUGUUUGUGUAUGAACUAUUUCUAACGUAGUACCAAAUUGUUAAUUGACAAAUAGAGUGAUACUCGGUACUUUUCUAUUACCUUUUAUGAUAAAGGGUUUUGUACGAUAUUCGUAUACCUAUCCUACAUUGAUUCCCUUUUAAGGGCAUGUAAAAGUAGUUGAUAGAACCCCUGAUUGUUUUUACAAAAUAGCACUAUCACAAAUAUUGAAAGUGCAUGUUUGAUUGUUUCAAAGAGAUUCAGAUUAGGUUUUGUUUAAAUAAAGCAUGGUCUUAUUAAUAAGCUCGGGAUCACAUAAUAUUUUUUGAUAUAUCUGCAGUUGCGUAUUAGAGGAUGGUCAUUUAGAGACGUUUCAAUCGUAUCAUAUACGUUGACGUAUCCGCAUCUGCAAAACAGUUUUUGUUCCCCAGCUUUAAUGUUAUGUAAUUUCAAUAAUGCAAAAAGACAACUGAUUAAUUUCUAAUGCCAAAAAUAACAAACAAUUAGGAAAUAUCGAGGAACAUGUAAUUUGACUUUUGAAAAUAUUCUGGAUAUUUUUAUCAGUUUACAGACAUGAAUACGGUAAAAUCGUUUGUUUGUGUAUUAGUUUGUGCUCACUUAGAACCAAAUUGUUAAUUGACCAAUAGAGUGAUACUCAGUACAUUUUUUAAAUGUAUUUACAUGACAUCUGAAGACAACUCGUGUUUCUAUUACCUUUUACGAUAAAACUGCAAAUGAACAAUAUUCAAAGUUCCUUACAUGUAUAUAUAAGUACAUUGUAGUACAUUUGAUUUUUUUUUUUUGUGUUUAUUCAUGCAAGAUCUUGAAAUAUUGUUUAACUAGAUUAUUAAAGGAUUGUGUAUGCUAUUCGUGUACCCGCCCUACAUUUGCCACCUUUUAAUGGUAUGUAAAAGUAGUUGAUAGACCCAGUGGCGAAUCCAGAAAUAAGAGGGGGCCCACUGACUGCCUAAGAGGGGGCCCAUUCCAGUCAUGCUACAGUGAUUCCCUAUAAGUGAGAUUUAUUAAAACGACAAAAAUUAUUAUAUAAGAUACUCAAACGUUUGUUUGUUUGUGUGGAAUUGAAUUGUAAUGAUGCAAAUAUUGUAGUCAUUUUAAUGGAAAUUAUGAACUAUCGUUUGAUAUACAUCCGUUUUGUUCAUCAGAAUGCAUUGUUUUUUUUAAAUGUUAUGUAUAAGCAUGAUAAGAGUACAUAUUGUUACUAACACAGGUACAGAAAUGAUAACUUAAAAAAAACCAAAGAAAGUAAGUAAGAAUAAAUCUAUUUAUUUUACUAUAAUUCUUAUUACUUGUAAGAAGGAUUCAGUUUUUUCGAGUUACCGGAAUUGAUCAGUUUAUGAUAAAGAGAUUCAAAGAAUUCCAUUAAAUCCGUCAAAUAUUAUGGCGUCAUAAUCAGUAAUCGUAUUCAGCUGUAAUCGAUUAUAUUUUGCAGUGUAAUCGUAUAAAAUCAGUAAUCAUGCCAUUUCUGAUUACAAGUAGUAGUAAUGUAAGGAAUUACAUUACAAAAAACAAGUGUUUUCAUGAUUACUUUUAGAUUACAUCAACAUGAUAACUUGCUGACUACAAAUCUUUGAAAAAAGUUUCUGAUAGACAAUAAGAAAAUAAGAAAAUGUAAAGCACAAAUAAAAAAUCAUUGAGCUAGUAUUCUCUAUGAUGGGACUCUGUUUAAUGUGAUAAAUUGUAUCACCUAUAUAUAUAACAAGUUUUUAAACCAAGCGUUCUAUUUAGUUAACAGUUAGAUCUUUUAUAUAAAGAGAGGUUACUUGUUUAUAGCAAUGAUAUCAAAUAAAACAUGUUACACUGUUCCGGUCUAAAAAAAACAUAUGACUUUACAAAAAAUCACCAAAAUUAGCUCUUUUGUGUGGAUAAAAAGUUAUAAGAAAUCGAUAUUUCAAUAUACAAAGUAAAGAUAAGUGAUCCAAAGAAACCAUAAUUACUUUAAAGAAAAGUGAUAUAAAGUAAUCAAAUACAUUUGAAAUAAGGUGUACUUGUACUGUAAUCGAUUACAUUUUAUUGCAAAGUAAUUGUAAUUCAAUCAAUUACAUUUUAAAGUAAUUGACGUCAUCCCUGCUUUAGAGCUGUCAAUCAUUCUCAGAUUGAUACACUAUUGCUUCUUGGUACACUUAUAGUCACUAAGACAGUGUUAAUAUGAUCAUCUUAAAGGCUAUAUGUAUGUGAUAUGCCUUUUGAAAUGGAUGUUAUGAUGUUAUGCAAAGCCCUUAUGCAAUAUAUAACUUUGAGGGAAAAACAAUUUACAAAAGAGAAUAGUGCUCUAACAUUUUGGUAGUAAUAAACAGCUUCAGUUGAAAUCAGUUCUAACAUCUCUAAAAGUCUGCCAGGACCGUUAGAACUUCAUUUGUAUUAUACUUUAGUUCUCAUAACAACAGUAUAUCAAAGAAAGAGGUCUACCCGAGAAUGAAUUUAGAUGUGCAAAGCCUUAACAUGGUUCAAUGUACUAACAUAUGCAAUCGCAAUCUUUUAAAUUCUAUUUCAUCACAGUCCUUAUUCUAGUGGGUACUAAUUGUGAAUCACUACUGGCCAACUUGUUUUUCUACUCCUAUAAAGUAGAUUUCAAAGAAAUAAAACUAAAGUUUUAGAGAAGUCAGAACUGAUUAUAACUGUAGCUGUUUAUUACAACCAAUACUUCUGUCCUUUAGUAUAAGGUUUCGUAAUGCAAAGGCGAGGACAAAAAUGUGAGGUUAUAACUAUCAUCUAGGGUGAUAGUAGACAAGAAUCUAGGGUUACCUGAUUGCCCCUUUGUCAAGAUGGAUGUAACGCCAGGACCAGAGGUCCGUAAAAUAAAAAUUGAUGUAUGACAGUACAAAUUUGUGUUUAAGUGCUGUCCUAAUAGUAAUAUAUAAUUCUAGAACUUAAGGUCAUCCCUUUCUCUGCCAUAGAGUUAUUCCCUGAUUUUUAUAUUCAACAUAAGAACCUGAUGUAAUGAAACUAUUUAUAGACAUAAUUAAUACAUGUAGAAAGCCCGACGUCUUUCCAUCAUUUUGAAAUGAAGAUAUUACCUCUUUAUAUCAUGGGUGGUAUUGCAAGGAUCUGAAGUCUUUAAUUUUGUUAUAUGGCAUUGUACCAAAAUGACAUUUGUUUCCUUUUCCUAUGAUGGUAUCGUACAAGGGCAUAUGGUACCACAUAUGUGAUAGAUGAUGCAUACAAAAAAUCGUAGCCCCCUUUUAAAUUGAAUGAUGUCAAACAAGUACGUGAUGUACCACUGUAUGCAUGUGAAUGUAGUAGAAUAUAUCACAUAAACAGUAAGUGCACCCUUUACAAAGGGUAGAUUUUGACCCCCUCAUUCAAUAGCCUUAUUUAGCAUGUGUUACUCCCUAUAAAUAGGGUGAUAUUAGAUAUCGGAUUAAAAUAUAGCAUAACCUAUAACUGAUUUGACUAAUCUUUUUCAAAAUUUUAUAUUAGGGAAAAUUAAAAACACUUGACAAUAGCUGUGUGCACCGUUUGUAACAUUGAAAAACACAUCAGAGGCAUGAUUACCCAGAAGCAGUGGUAGGCUUUAACACUUCGGGGGCCACAUUAUCAUAGAGGAAGGAUGCUCAUGUAUAAUCUCGAAUUUGUUUUGUUAAGCUCACAAAUGAUAUCGAAGCUAGUUUAGAGAUUAGCGGGGAGUUAAAACAAAUGUCCAUUUAUUUUAGUCUUCAAAGUACAAGAAUACCAAGCGAUGUACCAACUCAUGAGUCGAAGAAUAAAUAACACUACAAAAAGACAACCAUCAGUCUACAAUAUACAAUAUAGAAAGGCAUGACAAACUCUUACCCAAACAAACAUGUACAGCGGCGGAAAAUUCUUUUUUGUCUUCGAUCAGCUGCGUACGUUCGACUCUUUGCAUGCUUUAUGAAAAACAAGUUCUUGACAUUUCCCGAUUUUCACAUUUGGCAUCAUUCCUUUUAAUGGUUUGUUCAAUCAUUGGUACUUACAUUUAUUUGCUCUUAAAGAAGAGUGUUUAAAGUACAGUUUCAUCUAGUGUGUUUCUGUAAAAAAAACAACUUCGAUGUCAGAUUUUUCCUCUUUGUGAAAAAGAUAACUAUCAAGUUUUAGUGGUUUUUAUAUGAUAUAACAUGUAUCUACACAAAUAUACGCGUGUGACAUGUAUGUGUCUAUUAAUAUGUGUGUGUUUUGAUAACUGAAUUACUUUAUUUUUAGUGAAAUGGAAAAGAAGAAAAGAGAUUUGGCUUCAGAUGAAUUUUUGGAAUGUUCAUAGCUGCACCAAUGAUACAACUAAUGAAUGUCUACCACCGGUCUCAAUUUAAGAGCUUAAUAAUGUCAAAGAAAUGCCUUUAAUUGAUACGUAAACAACAAAAAUGAAUUAUUCAGAUAACGACCUCGUCAACAUAACUAGUAACGGAAACGACCUGAGUGACACUUUGUUAACUAUAUUAUUUUUUGACACCAUUUUGUUGACUUUCUAUCUCUUAAUCGGUGUUUCAGUUAACGUUUGUGCUGUUUUUCUUCUCAGGAGAGCGGUUCGCAGGACAACUGACUUUCUCGGGGAAGAUAACGUGAGAUAUCAAACAUUUUUCGUAAUGAUUGAGUUAACAGCAUGUGUUAUAGGAACGUCGAGUUUUAUAGCAAUUAACACUAAUCCAGUUGAUUUUUACGGCGAAUCACUUUGUACACUAAUGUUAGGAAGUAACAUGUUGUUUGCAAACUUAUCUGGAUCAUCAAUCGUACAUUAUCAUAUAACGAGUUUUUUUCGAUAUAUGUUAGUUUUCAUAAGACACAAACAAAUGAUGAUAUUAAGGUACAGCGGUGUAGUAUUUGCCUUAUUUUUUUCAAUUCCGUCCUUCAUAUUCUACGGGGAAACCGAUAUAGACUUUGAAAUCCAGAACAUAACCGUUUCGGGAAAAAUUUGUGGGGUCUCGAGAAAAGCUGACAAUUAUUCAUUUGUUCAAGCAUACCCGAUCGUUGUAUUGACAAUUUAUAUUAUUGAGUUUUUAUUCAUUGUUUUUGUAAGUAUUUUGGUAAAAGAUAGGUUAUCAUCAGGUUUACCAUUAAGGACAAACAAAAAAACAAGAAUACAGCCAGGCUUUAAAUAUACUUCGACGUCAAAAAUAAGAGUCGUCAAUAGUGGAACAGUUGAUAACUCAAAACCUCCAGACAAUUCCAAAAUCAUUGACCUUUAUGCAGACAAAGAUUGUUCAGUCGUAGACUUGGAUGUGCUGACUUGCAGUUCUUGUAAUGAAACAAAACGGAAAACUUGUGACAGGUUAUUAGCAUCAAAUUAUGAUUUGAUAAUGGAUCAAAAAAUAUGCGUUUCUGAUAACACGAAAUCAAGUAAUCAGACUCCUGUCGAGCCUGAGUACAUGAAAAUUAAAACAACGAAAGAAUGUUGUAUAUCUUGUCAUAAAAAAAUCUGUUUUCGUAAAGCACCAUCUUUUUUCAGUGGAAUCAUUUUAUUUGCUACAUCGACACUACCAAGAGCUAUUAUAAUGAUUCUUGAAUCUAACGAUAAAAACUUUUGGAGCAAACUGAGCAAAACAGAGUACAUGUUAUACAACUUUCUCUAUCGAGUUUAUUUAUUACAAUGCGUAUUGCAUCCAUUUAUCUAUUAUUGGUAUGCUAUGAAAGGUCAAUUCAAAAGAGAAAUUCGAAGAUGCAGAUUGAGAAAUAUAGAUUCCACACUCCAAGAAGUACAUUACGAUAUUUCUACACUCGAGACAGUUCAAUUGUAAUAUUUAAAGGGCGAGGCUUGCCGAGAAAAUUUAAAAAGUAUUUAUUAUUACAAAUAUAAAACUUCAAUUUUAGGUUUAAGUUUAAUUAAUCUUGAUAACAUUAAAUUUACAGCGUUUAUUUCUUUUUUAAUUUACGCAAAUUAUUAUAUAUAUAAUUUAGAUAUCUGUUUCACAUUAGACAUGUUAGAUUUAUAACA
rnacentral:lncRNA from 1 species